GUGGGGAAUUUUGGACAAUGGGGGCAACCCUGAUCCAGCAAUGCCGCGUGUGUGAAGAAGGCCUUCGGGUUGUAAAGCACUUUUGUCCGGGAAGAAAUCGCACCUGAUAAUACCGGGUGUGGAUGACGGUACCGGAAGAAUAAGGACCGGCUAACUACGUGCCAGCAGCCGCGGUAAUACGUAGGGUCCAAGCGUUAAUCGGAAUUACUGGGCGUAAAGCGUGCGCAGGCGGUUGUGCAAGACCGAUGUGAAAUCCCCGGGGUUAACCUGGGAAUUGCAUUGGUGACUGCACGGCUAGAGUGUGUCAGAGGGGGGUAGAAUUCCACGUGUAGCAGUGAAAUGCGUAGAGAUGUGGAGGAAUACCGAUGGCGAAGGCAGCCCCCUGGGAUAACACUGACGCUCAUGCACGAAAGCGUGGGGAGCAAACAGGAUUAGAUACCCGUGUAGUCC
rnacentral:rRNA from 1 species